UGUGCCCUCCCUUCUUUUGGUCAUGUAAUAUUGACACAUCCAGAGUGGUUAAAGCAGUGUGGACAACGGUCUGCCUACCAAAGGAAGGUGGUCUCGGUAUGAGCGGUAUGAGAAUCUCUAAGUUUAGAAUCGUGUAUUAUAACUUGAACUCUGUCCGGUGUCCCAUUUACUGAGAUGAUUAAUAUUAAAAGAAAAACGUAAGUUUUAUUUAGUUUUGUUUAGAAAGACUAAUGACAUUUUGGUUGAAGUAAAGAUUAAGGAAACAUAAGAUUUGGUUGAUAUAUAAGAAGUAUUGUCAUCGAGAAAAGUAAGAGAGAGAAAAGCAGAGAAAAAAGUAGAUCGAGAUCUUCCCUCUCCGGUGUCCGACGAUCUUUGCUGGCGCCGUGAGAGGGUGGGUUACUGUCUUUUGUUCUGAUUUAGGAGGCAUGAAGAUUGUGAUUUUCUGGUGAGUCGCGUUUGGAUUGGUUUGUUUAUGUCGGUUCCUAUCUAGUUUCUGGUACGCGGUGGUUGUACUCAGCCGGUUCAGAUGUGGAUGCUUAAGUUUUCUCGGAUCUGGUCAGACAACCUUCCAAGCGAGGCAUCAGAGGUCAUAGGUCUUCCUAUCAUCUUCACUGCCUUUUGUCCUUUGCGUUCUUUUAGUGAGAAGAACUCUUAUUUCUUUAAAACGGCCGGUUAUCUUCUCCGGCGACCUGGCUUCCGUGUAUCGGGCUUCGACUCUGGCUUAUGGUGGCUACUUUAGCAUUGUUCGUUCCCGGUGGAUUAGCGGAUUUGAAAUUACGCCGGUCACUUUCUAGUCAUGAAGUUCGAUGGUGCUCUUGAUUCAGGUAACACGCUAAAGGUUAACGCAUGGAUGUGGGUUGAAUGGAUUGCGUUGGGCUUUAUUUUGUUUGGAAUUUAUGGGCCUCUUUGUUUAAUGUUCGUUUUGUUGCUAGCCGAGAUUUAUGGACUUUGUAUUUGUAUAACUUCGGUCGGUUUAUGGGCUUUAGCCUCGUAAUAAUAUAGAUGACAAAAAAAAAAAGUAUUGUCAUCAUUGCAUCGAAA